CUUGUUUGGGCUGCUCAGUGCCGAACGCUGGGGUGACAGGUUCUCCUGCCAUGGUGAAUCCUGGCAAGAUUUGCCUGGCUCUCUGACAUUCUGUAGCCCCAACAUUUGUGGCAGGAUGCCUGAAAGAAGUUUCAUCCUCAGGUGGUCUCUCCUGUCAACCUACACACCUUGGAGAGCCUUCCCCAGGGUAUGAUGGUCGCGAGUCUGGGACACAUUCAUCAGAAGGAGGCCAGGCUGCGCAGGUGCUCUAAGGGCGUCUGAUACACCAUCACUCCCUAGGAAACCAAUGGGCAUGGAGGAAGCUGAGCUCUGGGAUCAAUUACGCUGGUGAAACUACAAAGUCUUCUCAUCUUCAAAGGGAAUUUAUUAAGCCCCACAAUGCCAUCAGCACUGGGCCAGGUUUUCGUACUGGCCCAUUAGGUGGACACAGGCCUCUGCCCCCAGGAGCGUGCCGAAUGAGGUGGAGGAUAGCAGCUGAGACUGUUGACAUUGUCCGAGAUUAUCCUGAAGCAGCUGGUACAAACCCUCCUGCUCUUUGCAACGGUCCUGUUCUCAGCAGAAAUUUGGAGCCUCCUGAGUGACCAGCAUUAAUGCCCCACUUCCCUUCUUGCACAACUCCCAGCUUCUCUACUGCCCAGUGAUGGAAUUAUUGAUUGGUGUUCAUACGCUAAUUACCCGGAAGGUCCUUUAAUAUCAUCACAGAAAUGUCAGGAGAAGUGGAGCACCACUGGCAGAAGAACCUGCCUCCCUGCUCCUUCAAAGGCCACAGACCCAUGAGAACCAUUCACUGUAGCCUGAGCCACAUGCCUGGAGGCCACAGCAGAGCACAGGAAAGCGGGGGGAAGUGGAAACGUGCGAGCAGACGGCUCAAAGCAACGGGCUCACCACCGGAAAAAAAAAAUAAAAAUAAACACGCUCAGAAAU